rnacentral:sRNA from 1 species
GAACAUUUAUUAAGCACCUGCUGUGUACCAGGUACAUCACUGUCACCUUCAUGCACACUGUCCCAGGCAGUCCCACCCGGGGCGCCUCUGAUCCUGUCUCUGGCUUGUGGAGACAGGUGGCCAGAGCACUGAGGUCCCUGAGACAGUGCAGGGCCUUGUGAGCAGCGAGGACCCAGGCUGGACACACCUGGGCAGAGGAGGAGCGAGUGGACAUUCUAAUCAACAACGCGGGUGUGAUGCGGUGUCCCCACUGGAUCACCGAGGACGGCUUCGAGAUGCAGUUUGGCGUUAACCACCUGGGUCACUUUCUCUUGACAAACUUGCUGCUGGACAAGCUGAAAGCCUCAGCCCCUUCGCGGAUCAUCAACCUCUCGUCCUUGGCCCAUGUUGCUGGGCACAUAGACUUUGAUGACUUGAACUGGCAGACGAGGAAGUAUAACACCAAAGCCGCCUACUGCCAGAGCAAGCUGGCCAUCGUCCUCUUCACCAAGGAGCUGAGCCGGCGGCUGCAAGGUUCUGGUGUGACUGUCAAUGCCCUGCACCCCGGCGUGGCCAGGACAGAGCUGGGCAGACACACGGGCAUCCAUGGCUCCACCUUCUCCAGCACCACACUCGGGCCCAUCUUCUGGCUGCUGGUCAAGAGCCCCGAGCUGGCUGCCCAGCCCAGCACAUACCUGGCCGUGGCGGAGGAACUGGCAGAUGUUUCGGGAAAGUAUUUCGAUGGACUCAAACAGAAGGCCCCGGCCCCCGAGGCUGAGGAUGAGGAGGUGGCCCGGAGGCUUUGGGCUGAAAGUGCCCGCCUGGUGGGCUUAGAGGCUCCCUCUGUGAGGGAGCAGCCCCUCCCCAGAUAACCUCUGGAGCAGAUUUGAAAGCCGGGAUGGAGCCGCAAGACCGAGGACAGCUGUCCGCCAUGCCUGCAGCUUCCUGGCACUACCUGAGCCGGGAGACCGAGGACUGCCUGGCCGCCAUGCCCGUAGCUUCCUCUAGGGGGUGGCGCUGGCACCACCUGAGCUGGGAGACCCAGGACUGGCGGCCGCCAAGCCAGCAGCGUCCUCUACGGGGCGGUGCUGGCCGCAGUGGACUGCCCUGCAGGAGUUUUUGCCAAGCCCUCGCUCUCAGCCCAGCCCGGCCCAGCGGUGUCCUCAGGAGGGGACGUAACCCUACAGUGUCAGACUCGGUAUGGCUUUGACCAAUUUGCUCUGUACAAGGAAGGGGACCCUGCGCCCUACAAGAAUCCCGAGAGAUGGUACCGGGCUAGUUUCCCCAUCAUCACGGUGACCGCCGCCCACAGCGGAACCUACCGAUGCUACAGCUUCUCCAGUGGGGACCCAUACCUGUGGUCGGCCCCCAGUGACCCCCUGG